UACGUAGGGAGCAAGCGUUAUCCGGAUUUACUGGGUGUAAAGGGUGCGUAGGCGGCCUGGCAAGUUAGAAGUGAAAUUUAGGGGCUCAACCCCUGAGCUGCUUCUAAAACUACCGGGCUAGAGUGCAGGAGAGGAAAGCGGAACUCCACGUGUAGCGGUGAAAUGCGUAGAGAUGUGGAGGAACACCAGUAGCGAAGGCGGCUUUCUGGACUGUAACUGACGCUGAGGCACGAAAGCGUGGGGAGCAAACAGG
rnacentral:rRNA from 1 species